AGGUAGCCUGCGUGCAGUCCCAGACUCCAAAGGAAGUAGGCUCCUACUUCCUACUUCCUUUGGAGUCUGGGACUGCACGCAGGC